CUCCCUCAACCUGACUCUGGGGGCUUUUGCUAUAAAGCGCCCAGGCAUUGCCUGAGGGUACAGGGAAAGCACUCAUCCCUCUCCAGGGAGACUGUUUUCCUUUGGGGCCUACAAAUCGGGCUGGCAGC